GACGAACGCUGGCGGCGUGCUUAACACAUGCAAGUCGAACGGGAUCCAUCGCCGUAGCUUGCUACAUGAUGGAUCUAGUGGCGAACGGGUGAGUAACACGUGGGCAAUCUGCCCCGAAGACCGGGAUAACACGGGGAAACCCGUGCUAAUACCGGAUAUCCUGCCUUUCCCGCAUGGCAUCGGCAGAAAAAGGUUGUUUUACUUCCGCUUCGGGAUGAGCCCGCGGCCCAUUAGCUUGUCGGUGAGGUAACGGCUCACCGAGGCGACGAUGGGUAGCCGGCCUGAGAGGGUGACCGGCCACACUGGGACUGAGAUACGGCCCAGACUCCUACGGGAGGCAG
rnacentral:rRNA from 1 species